CAACUAAAUGCAAAAACGAAAUAGAUUAAAAGUAAUUAAGGUUUUAAGAUUCAUAAACACAAAGAAAAACUGAAAGAUAAAGCAUAGAUCCUUUGGACAAACCCCAAAGUGAUAUA
rnacentral:sRNA from 1 species